rnacentral:rRNA from 1 species
UACGGGGGGAGCAAGCGUUGUUCGGAUUUACUGGGCGUAAAGGGCGCGUAGGCGGCGUGACAAGUCACUUGUGAAAUCUCCGGGCUUAACCCGGAGCGGCCAAGUGAUACUGUCGUGCUAGAGUGCGGAAGGGGCUACUGGAAUUCUCGGUGUAGCGGUGAAAUGCGUAGAUAUCGGGAGGAACACCAAUUGCGAAGGCAGCUCGCUGGGACGUUACUGACGCUGAGACGCGAAAGCGUGGGGAGCAAACAGG